GGGCGAAUGGUCUAGUGGUAUGAUUCUUCGUUUGGGUCGAAGAGGCCCUGGGUUCGAUUCCCAGUUCGCCCC
rnacentral:tRNA from 3 species